UGUGCCAGCCGCCGCGGUAAUACGUAGGGUGCGAGCGUUGUCCGGAAUUACUGGGCGUAAAGAGCUCGUAGGUGGUUUGUCGCGUCGUCUGUGAAAUUCUGGGGCUUAACUCCGGGCGUGCAGGCGAUACGGGCAUAACUUGAGUGCUGUAGGGGUAACUGGAAUUCCCGGUGUAGCGGUGAAAUGCGCAGAUAUCAGGAGGAGCACCGAUGGCGAAGGCAGGUUACUGGGCAGUUACUGACGCUGAGGAGCGAAAGCAUGGGUAGCGAACAGGAUUAGAUACCCUGGUAGUCAAGGGCG
rnacentral:rRNA from 1 species